GAUGAACGCUAGCGACAGGCUUAACACAUGCAAGUCGAGGGGCAGCGGGGGUAGCAAUACCCGCCGGCGACCGGCGCACGGGUGAGUAACGCGUAUGCAACUUACCUAUCAGAGGGGGAUAACCCGGCGAAAGUCGGACUAAUACCGCAUGAAGCAGGGGCCCCGCAUGGGGAUAUUUGCUAAAGAUUCAUCGCUGAUAGAUAGGCAUGCGUUCCAUUAGGCAGUUGGCGGGGUAACGGCCCACCAAACCGACGAUGGAUAGGGGUUCUGAGAGGAAGGUCCCCCACAUUGGUACUGAGACACGGACCAAACUCCUACGGGAGGCAGCAGUGAGGAAUAUUGGUCAAUGGGCGCGAGCCUGAACCAGCCAAGUCGCGUGAGGGAUGAGGGUUCUAUGGAUCGUAAACCUCUUUUAUAAGGGAAUAAAGUGCGGGACGUGUCCUGUUUUGUAUGUACCUUAUGAAUAAGGAUCGGCUAACUCCGUGCCAGCAGCCGCGGUAA
rnacentral:rRNA from 1 species